GAUGAGGCUGAGGAAAAUGUUGGUGUUUUCCGUAAAGUUGUGAAUGUGCAAGUGGAAGAAUACCAAAACUACCAAGUUGGUCCUCACACCGUUACUAAUAUCUACUGCUUGAAAUGUAGGAAUGAAUUGGGCUGCAUAUACAUUCAAGUUGUUGGAGAGCAGAACAUUCUCCGAGAUGGAUAUGUGAAAAUAAUGAUGGAGCAGACUCGGGAAAUCAGGGACGAAGAGGAACCCUAAAUUCUGGCUGUGCAACAAAUCUUGGGAACUUAGCUGAAGUUGAUAAUGUUUUCUUCUCAGUACUGAAUUUUCGACUUUUAUUCUGCAUUAUCUGAUUAUCGCAGACUAAAAUUUAGCUCACAUAUUGUUGAGGCUUUCAGUUGAAAUAUUAUGUCCAUAACAAUUUAGACGUACCGUUUUAUCUUCAAUUUAGAUACCCAACGAGCUUUUAAGAUUUUUUGGCAAAUAAGUUUCAAUAUGUCAUACUCGGAAUAAUUAGCAUUUCAUUCCUUUUAAUUUCUUUACUAUAUUUGUAUAUAUAGAAAUCUACUAAGUCUGAUAUGUCCUAAUGUGAAAGCAUCGUAAAGUGUGAAGGCAGUUAUGCAACAUAUUUUUGGCAUUAGUUACCGAUAGUU